UGGCGAGCGGCGAACGGCUGAGUAACACGUUAGUACCUGCCCCAAACUCAGGGAUAAGCCCUGGAAACGAGGUCUAAUACCGGAUGUCCCAGUAAUGGGAAAGAUUUUAUCGGUUUGGGAGGGGCUUGCGACGUAUCACGCUUGUUGGUGAGGUAACUGCUCACCAAUGCUAUGACGCGUAUCUGGUGUGAGAGCACGACCAGACAGAGUGGGACUGAGACACGGACCACACUCCUACGGGAGGCAGCAGUGAGGAAUUUUCCACAAUGGGCGAAAGCCUGAUGGAGCAAUCUCGCGUGGAGGAUGACCACCUUUCGGGGCGUAAACUCCUUUUCUGAGGGAAGAAGUUCUGACGGUACCUCAGGACUAAAUGGCGGAUAAUACCGUGCCAACAGACGCGGUAAUACGGAAGCCCUAAGCGUAAUCCGGAAUCACUGGGCGUUAACGAAUCGAAGGUGACACAGUUAGUCUGACAUCAAAUCCCCUGCGGCUCAACCGAGGUUUCGUGUCGGAAACUGCUGGACUAGAGGAAUGCAGAGGAAACUGGAAUUUCUGUUGUAGGGGUAAAAUCCGUAGAUAACAGAAGGAACAACCAAAAGCGAAGGCAGGUUUCUGGGCAUUUCCAGACGCUGUGCGAUCGAAAGCGUGGGGAGCGAAAGGGAUUAGAUACCCCUGUAGUCCACGCCGUAAACGACGGAUACUCGGUGUAGGUAAGUUCAAUCCUUAUCUGUGCCUAAGCUAACGCGAUAAGUAUCCCGCCUGGGGAGUACGGUCGCAAGACUAAAACUCAAAGGAAUAGACGGGGAUCCACACAAGCGGUGGAGCAUCUGGUUUAAUUCGAUAACAAGCGGAGAACCUUACCAGGACUUGACAUCCCGAGAAUUUUCUAGAAAUAGAAAAGUGCCUUUUUAAGGAAUUCGGUGACAGGUGUUGCAUGGUUGUCGUCAGCUCGUGCCUUGAGGUGUGCGGUUAAGUCCGUGAACGAGCGCAACCCUCGUCGUACGUUGUAUUUUUCGUGCGAGACUGCCCGUUUUACGCGGGAGGAAGGUGAGGAUGACGUCAAAUCAGCAUGACCCUUAUGUUCUGGGCGACACAGGUGCUACAAUGGUUGGUACAAAGGGUAGCCAAGUCGUAAGAUGGAGCCAAUCCCAAAAAACCAAUCUCAGUUCGGAUUGAGGUCUGCAACUCGACCUCAUGAAGCUGGAAUCGCUAGUAACCGUGAAUCAGCCAUGUCACGGUGAAUAUGUUCCUGGAUCUUGUACUCACCGCCCGUCAAGUCACGAAAGGUAGGGGCGCCCGAAG
rnacentral:rRNA from 1 species